rnacentral:sRNA from 1 species
GUUUAUCUGCGUUAAGGAUAGAAGCGGCAUCCUUUUGGCUAGGUUUAAAUGAAAAAUGUUUCUCCUUAUUAUAUGUAUACUAUAAUAUAGUAUGAAUAUGAUUAUUAAAAAAAGUAGCCAAAAGAUAUAGCGGAUAGCCUGACUUUAC